GUUUUAUCACAAACACGCAAACUUACCAGCUACCUGCCCGGUAUAAUACGUGUACUUAUUGCAGUAAAUUUGUUUCCGUUUCGUUCGUCUCGGUAUUCGUUCACGCCGAUCGCGACCACAUCACAUGUAAUACCGUAGGUAGGCGCCGAACCGUUUCGCGCUGGACCGUGCGGUAUACCGGACCUCUGACCCGGACCUUACCGCGGUAACCACCGCGGCGGACACACAAUGCUACCGGUACACUGGGCCGGCACCGGCGAAUCCGCUUCCGCGUCCGCUCGCACCACCGUAGACCGGCACGUCGAAACGUCGUAGAUCCCAUCGUUCGCCUUCUUCGCCGUUGAUCCGUGUAAGUACACCGCCACAAUACCGACACCCGACGUAACAAUCACACACGUUUUGUAUAGGUACUGUACGAAUAUUCCCGGUCCUGGGACGACCAGAGUGCAGACGUCGUCCGUCCGGGCCGAUGUUAUAAUAUAGACGUCGUUAUAAUAUUAUAGUCAUUGUCGAAAUGCAUAGUGUCUGUUUUUCGUAACAUUAUAAUACGUUAUACGGAUAAUGUGUCCUCGAAAAUCGCGGCGUUCGGCUCGUCUCGGCGGCUCGCAUAUACCCCGUUCCCCGGCCCUCGUCUCAAGCCGCCUCAAGCCCAUCCGGUGUCUCGGUCGCCGUCGCCAUCACCCUCCCAGCGACGACCUUGGCCCCGUUCCCGCGCUCGGACGUAUCCGAUAACAUUGUGUCAGGCAAUCGGUGACGUCACGGCCACAGUUUUAUUGCACCAUCUCGUCCGCACGUGUAUUUCAUAUCAUAUUAUAACUGAUUCGCAGUCGACGUCGUACACACUGUAUUUUAAACGCGCGCGUGCGCGCGAAACUCCGCGUGCGUUAACGGUCAUUGGUUCAGUAAAUAAUAAUAACAAUAAUAGUAAAAUAAUUGUCACCCAUAAAUAAUUAACGUUGCGACAUAAAUCCGAAAAACCGGGAUCGAGGAUUUUAGACAACGAAAUAUGGACUUCAAAAUACGAAAAUUCUAAUUACGGAUUUCAAAAUGUAUCAAAAUUGUCAGUAGUUUUUCAAUUGUAUGAAAAACGCCCAAAAGAAUCCGAAAUUGAAAAUGUUUUGCCGGGAGUAAUAAGUGUGUGUGUGUGUGUGUGUGUGUGUGUACUUUUAAUACUCGCACGGGUCGGGUCGGUGGGACAUACAGACAGAAGGCCAGUGAACAAGGAUCGGGUCGCGGAUACCGAAAUUACCCGUGUAUAUCGAAACGAAAUGCCGAGCGAAAACAUCCGUGUAGCGCGUAAAUUACGCGAUUCCAAUUGGGCGCGAACGUUAUUUACGCGACCCGGCCCAGCGCAAAAGCCCAUAAAAUAUAUUAUGGAUAAGCUUUUCGACCCUCGCGCCAUAGAAUUCCGCCUCCAUAUUGUAGACGCUCUCUGCCAUUCCGUAUUUAGCCGUACCUAUAUACUUAGUAGGUUAGGUUACAUAUAUAUAAAUAUAUACGCCUACUAUAAACUUGUUACUCGUCGUAUACAACCCCGAGAUAUUUCGGGAUUAACCGAUUACAUUUUACACGUGAAAUACGAUUUGCAGACUGAGGUAGACAAUAUAAUACGAUUUCGUGUGAAUUUGACGGUGUGUUUUUUCCCCGAUCGCUGUUAUGGAAGUGUUUGAGCUUAAUUUCAAGGAAGUGGGUUUGAAACGGUUUUCCAAAAUAUCGUCAAAUUUGAAAAUGACCACUUUUUACCUUUUUAUGGUCGCUAUAAGACUUUUCCACUAUAAUCUACUGCGCGGUUCCCCUUUUAAGGUAAAGGAGUACGGCCGUUUUUACGGAUGAAUAUGACGUUUUAUGUAUUAUAUCAGUGCUUCCCAGAGUUUUUCGACUUGUAGUUCCCGUUUUGAACUUAUAUUUUCUGGGAGCGCCCUUGCAAUUCAUUGCAAUCAAAAAACCUAUUCUGAUCGGAAUAGUAUUAGUCGCGGUUUUAUCACAUUGCAUAGCCAAGGUAAUCCAGGUAAAUAAAAUCGAUGAUCAACAAUCUAACAAUUUUUGCCAGAUUUUUUUUUAAAUUUUUGAGAGGAAGUGUUGGGAAUUUAAAAUUGUUUUUUUUAAAUAAACUAUUACUGGACAUUCGCGUAUUUUAAGGUACAGUGCGAAUAAUUUGAAGCAUUUUUUUUAAAAGAAAAAGUGUUCGAGAAAACCAAAAAAAAAAAAAUAAAAUAAAGACGCCACGCCGCUCUCACCGUUUACGCUGUCAUUUGGGUUUUAAAUUUGUGUUUAGACCACUAAAUAUUCAAAAUGACGAUGCGGCGCCCUUGUAUAUAUAGGUCACCAUGACGCAUACUUAAGGAACCACUGCAUUAGACCUAUAAGCUGGAAUAAAUAUCACCCACUACCAUUUUUUUUUUUUAAAAUUAAGUGAGUGCACUAAUUUCUAAAAUGUUACGUUUUAUGCUGGAUUGUUGAUCAGUUUAAUAAAAAUAUUGAUUGCAUUUCCAUCAUUUUACUUGGUUCAACAUGGAUUUAGUACAGUAACCAAUCUACUUACAAAUAAAGACAACAGUUGCAAAUAUGAAAUAACCAAAUAUAGGUACUAUGACUUCUCUUAAAAAUCAAACGAAACAUCUGUAAACUAAUAGUAUAACACCAAACACAUCCAUCUCAGUAAGGUAUUAUACUAUCUAUUUUAUUUACACAUUAUUAUACAUACACAAUAGAUUAAUGGUAUCAUUGCAUACUUCUGUGUUGUACUUUGAUCUUUUGGAGGGGUACUGUGAGGUUUUUUUUUGGGGGGGGGGGGUAUCGGUAAAAAAAAUGAGCUUGGGAACAACUGGACUAAGUAUAUAUAAAAACGAAUCGCUUUCAAUAACCUUAACACCAUUUUCGAAUUUGUACUCCUACUCCUUUUUUUGCCUUAAAUGAAUAUUAAAUUUCCCCUAAAUUUCAACACAAAUACUAGGCUAUUAUUUCUCAAGUUUCAAACGGUUACAAUUCAUAAACAGGAAAUUCAAUAUCAAUAUGUAAUGCAUAUCAACAUUUUAAAAAAAAUAUAGUCUCUUAUCGAUGCUUUAUGAAAGAGAUAUGGGUUGAAUAAUGUUUGGUUAGGUAGGGUAGAGUUUUAAAAAUAUUUUAAAUUGGAUCAUUAAAUAAUUCUGUAUUAGGAUGAUUGAAAAAAUCAAAAUCUUCGAAAAUGAUUAUUAGAUAGUAAUAAUAAAAGAAUGACCCUGUAGAGUUGAAGAAAGUUUAACCGCUGCAGCAGAGUUCAAUUUAUCGAAUUGACUUAUAGGUAUAGCAACAAUAAAUAAAUAUUGCAAUUUACAACGUUACGUUACGUUACUAUAAAAAUAUAAAUUAUUAUUUUGGUUAAUUUUAAUUUGUUUUUUUUUUUUUAUUGACGUAAUAAAUGACAUUUUUAUAUUUAUUUUUUCACAAUGUGUAGUGUAGAGACGGUAUUUUUAAAUUCAAUCAUUUGUUUAUUUUUUUUUUUUAAUAUGUAAAUUUAUUGUCUUCUGGGCCGUAUAGAAAACACGUAAAAUAUAAUAAUUAUCAUUCAUUUUAGAAGUCAUUGUAUUUUACGAUUAUUAUUAUUAUAGUUGAGUAAUGUUCACAUCUAAUUACAAUACUAUUGACUAUGCUGAUUUAUCGUUUAAAAAUAAACGUAUUGUCUGGAACGUAUUAUUAUUCGAAUGGCUCUUUUGUUAAACGUUGUCUACCCGCAAAACAAAAAAAAAAAAAAUCAUUUAUUUUGACAUUUUCCUUGUUGUUAGUUUUGUGUUUCACCGCCAUUAAUAACACGUUUCAUAAGUGUCUUAGUUGCCACAAUUUCGACUUAACGAAGGCGGUUGCAUAUUAUAUACUUCGUUAGUUGAUUUUUUUUUCGUUUCGUUAGUUUGUCGUAAAGAUUAGUAACUGUCUCGAGUUUAAUUUGAAAAAUAAUGUCAUUUAAUUAACGCGUCGUAGCGGUAAGUGACAAGUGUAAUCGUUUAUAAUAUAACAUUAAGACGGUUAUUUUUUUUUUGUCAACGCAAAUCCAAAAAAGAUACGAUCGAAUAUUAUAAACAAUUAAAAUAUUAAAAUAGUGUUUUACAUUGCUAAUAAUGCCAUAUGCUAAUAAAUCAGUCAAUAUUCAUUUUUUUUUCCCGUGGCUUCUCAGCAUAAAUUCUAGACUUCAAAUAGCCUCACAGAAAAAUGUCUGGGGAGGUGUUAAAUCGGGUGAUCUCGGAGGCCAGUCGAAAUCAAAAUGUUUUGAAAUUAAUUGUUCGAGGAACCAAAAACGCAAUGAAGCGAUUAUGGCUCGAGCUAUAUGAGUUAUGACGCCGUCUUGUUAAAAUCAAUGGUCAGUUCAUGCUGUUAUCAGUCAGAAAUGGAAUCAAAAUAUCCGUUAUCGUGGCCCGAUAACGCUCUCUAUUGAUGGAUACGACUGCUCCAGCAUCUUUGAAAAAGAACGGUGCAAUAAUUGUUUUCGCGAAAAUUCCGGCCCAAAAAUCACGCGUUGAUUAUAAAGAGGUUGUUCGUGGAUUAAUUGAGAAUUUUCACUGGCACAGAACCAACAAUUUUGUUUAUUUAUGGCCCCAUUCAACUUUAAAUACUUCAAAUUCCGAAAAUCGAGAAAUGGCAUUCGCUCUGUAGGCGGCCAUUUAGGUGAUAUUAUUUUUAAAAAAAUGAUCAGAACAAAUUUCCAAAAUAAACGAAAAAUUAUUCAAAAUAACAAUUUGUGUUCUUUUAAAGAUAUCCCGAAGGUUUAAAUGACCCACCAUGUAUAAUAAUAGUAAUUAUAAUUUACAGUCUAAGAUUAAUUCUUCGAGUAAAGUGCAACAUUAAGCACUGAAUAUCUAGUUUAACUUCAAUGCAAUGCUUGAAUUGAGAGGGGAUGCAGGGAGACGGAGUGCCUCAACUAAUUUUUCAGAAAUGUAAACGUACCUUUACUAUUUGUUUGAAGUGGAACGUAUGACAACGUUUUAAAUCUGGAAAGAGCUGAAUGUAAUAAAAGACUAUAAAAGUAUUCAAUAGAAUUUCUGAUCUCUACGAUUAUUUUUCAUUGAAUAAACGAAAUAGAAUAAAACAAAAGCAAUAAAUGUAACAGUUACAAGCUUUUCCGACGUUUUUUCUAGGCGUUCGUAAUUAAGAAUAUAAUAAAGAAAAUUUAAAAAAAAACCCUUCUUAUUACAUUAACGAGACAACAAUUUUUACUAGGAAUCAUCGCCUCUAAAGUUGAUAAUUGAAGCAAGAUUUCUGGUAGAAAAGUUGUUCACAUACAGAAAAAGAACAAACACAUCAUCCUAAUAAAAUCAUAGUAGUAACUAUCAUAUUAGAAUCUAAAAUAAAUAAUAUCUAUUAUAGUAAGUGCUAGGAAAUCAAAAAUUAGCCUGCAGUAGGUAGUGUUUGUUUUUGGAAAUUAUGAAUUACCUAUUUAUGUUAGACAAUUGGUGUGGGAGGUGUGUAAGCUCCCCACGGGUUAGAUUGAGUUCAAUAAUUGCAAGAGAAGCUAAUUUUUUUUUAUGACUUAUAGUCCCUCUUCUUUUAUUUUAUCAACUCGAGCACUGCUUCAAUGUCUGUAUAUGUGUUAUAGGGAUGAUAUUGAUAAACUGUCGAAUUACUAUCAAUUAUUUUAAUCGAAUCUAAAAAAAAGUCACGGAGAUUUAGAUCUGGCUUGACUAUAUCUGUAAACUAUUUGUAAACAAAAAAAGUAUAUGUGAUAAAAAAAAAAACACAUUUCUUUAUUUUCUCCAGAUUUUAAAACAUUUGUAAUAUUGAACAUAUUAUAUAACUUAUAUAAUAAAUUAUUUCUGUAGAUGAGCAAUGCUCCUUAGGUAGUGAUGUAAAUCGUAAAUAUUACUUUGAUAAAGUAAAAUAAAGCAAAUAUAAUUUAUCGAGAAGUAAUGAAUACAAUUUUUACCAUUUAAAGAGUACCAAUUUUUUUUUUUUUUAUCGUUUUAUUCAAAUAACCAAUUCAUUGUUACCAAAUCCUACUUCUCGGCAAGUAAUAAUAAAUUAAUAUGUACAAUGUAUUAUUUAGUUUUGUUUAGUUUCGAUAAAAUUGAUUUAAUAUUUGUCUACCUAAAAGAUUACAAGUUACAAGUUACAGUACAUUAUAACAUUAUAAGAAGUGAAACAAAGUUUCCACAGCUAUAGUUUGUAUUUUAAUAUAUCAAUAUGGGUAUUUUAUAAUUUCAAAAUAAUACUGUAUUACUCAAUUCGGUAUAAAUUAAUUAUUUUUAUAAUAUAGUUAUGGAAUAUAAACUACCGGUAACUGUACAUCACUACGACACUAUUUACAAUUCGUAGAUUGCGAUUCUGAAUUGUUCUAAAAAAAAAAAAAAAUGAUAUGAUGUCCCGUUUUUUAUUCGUCUCAAUCGACGUGGUUCGGUAUUCGUAAGGUGACCGUGUACCCCGUUUUGAACGGGACAGUCCCUUUCGUACCUCCGUCUCGUUGUUCCCCGUGGAAUCUUCGAGACGCAAAAAUGUCCAGUUUUCAGAUGGUAAACAAAUAAAUAAUGAAAAUCAAUUGCGUACACGACGGUUUGUAGUUAAACUUCUUGAACGUCGUCGCCGGUUAUUGGACUUAUUGAAGAAAUUAUGUUCCAACGACAAAUAUGCUAGUGUAUAGUUUUCUUUAUUUAAUUAUUAAAUAGAAAAAAAAAAUUGUGUAAAAAUGAGUUACGCGUGGUAAUAAGUGUGAUUUUUUUUCGUUCCGUAAAAAUAUAAUAAUAAGUAAUUAUAUAACUUUGUUCAUAAUUAUUAGAAAAAAAAAACAGAAAAAAAAAGUUUUCUUUAUACUCUACUAUAAACCAUUUUCAAAUGGAUGAUGCGUUUAUUUUUCUGUCCCGUUUUCACCAAACAAAUAUACGGUCAUCUUAUCACCCACCGUGAGCCCCUCAUCGGGAUAAAUGACCGCGCGAAAGUUUUCCGAGAAGUAAACACCCAUGGCUAAAUCUAUUUUCGGAAACCGUUAUUUUAUAAUUUUAUAAUUAUUACCGUUACGUAAUACAUUAUUCCACGAACCGAAAUCACGAAACACAAAAUAUAUUCGGUUACGUGAAAACACCAAAACGUAGUGGAAUCCGCGUGACGUUCGCCUUUCGGGUCUGAAGAUCAUCAGCCCCCCCCCCCCCAGUCUCCACCGAACACUUUUCCGGGAAGUCUAUCUUUUUGACAUUCGGCCACUAUUAUUAUACUGUUUGCAUUCAAUAGGGUAAAAACGAAAUUUCAAAACGCAAAUAAUAGUACGCCCUUUACCGGGUAAUUCGUUUGUAAUAACGAACCGCAGGAGCUUUCGAAGGAUUCAUUAAUCUUAACCCGUCGUUGGUGUAAGCACGUGAGCGCGGUUGAAAAUCAGCGGACAACUAUUGCGUCAAUACGCCGGGCUUUUAUCGUGAUUCCAAUUACUAUAAUAAUAAUAAGUUUAUUUUACUUUGGCAAUAUUAAUGUUUACAAUGUUGUUACAUAAUACAUUAGUGUUGCACUGCAACGUCUAUCACUAUAAAUAAAAUCCUCGUAUUUGAUGGACGCGAGUCUCUAAAAAAUAAUUAAAGUCACAUUAAAUAUAAAACAAGAUAAUAGAAAAAAAAAAAAAAAUAAUAAUAAUAAUUUGAAUAAUACAUAAUUAAAAUUCCAAAACGUGUGAGGACAUGCGCAGCUUCUCCCUCAAAUAAAAUAUAGAUACAACUUUAUGAUUAACAAAAACAAAUAUUUAAAUUCAAUUUUUAUUAUUAUUAUUUAAUAAUCCCUCAUGGAGAAAAAUUUAAUAUCCAAAUUUCAAAUAAAAAAAAUAUUAAAUUGCCUUAAAACAUAAUUGAAACCACGGUGUCUCAAAAACCCCGUCGAAAUUAAUUAUAUAUUUUUUUAAAUAAAUUAACACAAAUAGCCACAAAAUACAUCUAAUUUGAUAUUUAAUGAUUUUUGGUAAAUUGGCAACAUAAUGUACAAUAUAUAUUUACUGAAAUUUAAUCACAUCUUGUUUUUUACUUUCAAGUUAGGGCUCGAAAUGAACGGCAAUGCAAUUCUGGUUCAUAUUUUUAUAAAUCAAUUAAGCAUGCCAUAUAUAACACUAUAUGUUUUUAAUUAUGUGUUACGUAUGGUUCAGUACAUUUUGUAUUUUGAGCACUGGUGGAAGAGUAAAACAUUUAAAAAUAUCUCAGAAAAAUAAAUGCUGAUUGUUGUAGGCGAAUAAGUUGAGAAGGUAGUAUGCAUAAAGUUAUUUUAUUUGUAUCUGCAAGCAACGAUAAACUAUUGAUAGCAAAAUACGAUUUCGAGCGAAGUUUGGUUAUAUUUGAAUGGCCGUUACAAAAUUUACGAUUUUCUUCAAAAUUUGAUCUAAACCAUUAUAUAAAGAAAAUUACUACAUUACUUUUAUUUUUAUUUUUUUUACCACUAAAGUAAAACAUAUAAUUAACCUCCUGUUAAAUUUCCAAGCAUUUCUAUUUAGUCUAAAAAUUAUAUCCACAUAUAGUACCUACCAAAUAAAAACUACGUAAGGAAAUCGCAAAUAUAAAAUGCCUUUAAAUAGCUCAAAAAUCACUGAAAAUUCAACCACGACUAAAAAUGGCAAAUAUAAGUUUUCUGAAAAAAUUUUAAAUCCUUACGAAUUUUUUAACUGAAUAAUAACGAAAAAACAAAAGUAAAACCUUUCCCAUUCUUUCUACUUUUUUUUUUGGUUUUGCUCAAUGAUUAAGACAACGAUUUGAAAAAUCAAAAGAUAAUUUACUUAUUUACCAUACAGAUAGAAAAUUUGACAAAACAUGUCAUUUUCAUUCUUCGAUUAACCAUAAAGUGUAUAUAUUUAAAACAAUGAAAUCAUAAUGCCGUGGAUUUGUCAGUUUUUAUUUUAGUAUUUUUCCGGUUUUUUCUAACUAUUUUUUAAACCCCUUGGAAAACCAAAAAAUUACCUUUUAAACGCAUCAAGUAAAUCCAAAAUUGAAGAGAAAAGUUCUCUUGUCUCCCUCAUUCUCCCACCGUCCCCAAAUGAAAAAUAUUUCCUGCACCUUUGAUAUUAUAAACAAAAUUUUCCUUUUGUUCCUUAAUUCAUCUGUGAUGACGUCAGCGGUUUUAUCUCCGAUAGUAACCACGCCUAGUUCACAACAGUUCAUCAACCGAAUCGUAAACAAAGUGAGUGAUAAGACCAUCUAAGACGUUACCAAUGUCACCACAGAUGAAUUAAGGAACAUGAGAAUAAUAUUGAUUGUAAACCUUAAUAAUAAUAAUGCAAAUAUCAUUAAGAAAAGUAUCCCGAAUUUGUAAAUACAUUUUUUAUUUAAUUUUGUUAACGACUUCGGGCCACAUGGUCAUUAGACACUGGGCAACCUGACAAUUUCUCGGCGUUCCAGUGGUCCAGUUAGCCCCUGACAGUUUACAAUUAGUGAUUAACACAACUGAAUAGGUACAAUCAAACUACUCUAUAGUUUAUCGCAUUCAAAUUAUUCUAUGGGUUGAAAACUAUGUAUUCGAAUAAUAAUUUAUCUAUUAGGUUUUGGGAAAAACUAUUCGAACGUGUAUAAUUUGAAUAGUUUUUCGAUAUAUCCGAAGUUUUCUAUAAAAAGUAUUUAGUGAUGGAAAAACUAUUCGAUAGUUCAUCUAAAGUCUAAAACAUCGAAAGUUCGAUACCUAGUAUAAAUUAUUCGGAAGUUCUCAUCACUAGUUAAAACAAACUCACACAACCCCCUCAACCAGCUAUAUAUUGUGCAAUGGUUAGUUUUAGCAAUUUGUUUAGUAUUUCAUAUUUUUAUUUUUUUUUUUUUUUUUUACAUGCUAAACUUUUUUGAUUUUUUUUCGUUUAAAACAUCACAAUAUCGCAUAUAUUGACGUUUGUUUGAAUUAUUUCUAGCUUGACACCAGAUGUCGUAUUAUUAUGCAAACUACGAACAGAUUGUGUGUGUAUAUAUAGGUAGGUACGUUUGAAGUCUGUUUAACUUGACACCGUUGCAGAUGUCGUAUUAUUAUGCAAACUGCAAACAAAUUGUAUAGGUAUACAUAAAACGUGAAAUUGCAUUCAUAUUCGGCGUGUUCAUUUUGUUUUCUGCGUACCUAUUUCGUGUUUACAACCGCCUUUUGCCGGAACACGACGAUGAAUGAAUCGCAUAAUAACAAUAUCUUAUAGGAUAAGCUUAAAACUAUACAUAAUAAUAAUAAUAAUGAUAAUACUACAGUAAUGGGUCCAAGGUAAUACGACGUGACGCAAAAUUCUUGGUCUUGAAGGAAUGAUGUACAUAAAUAAUACUCUUGAACGCAUUUAAUAAUAUACGAGUAUAAUACUUGAGAGUAUAAAUCAGCGAUGGCAUUAUUUUUUUUUUUUUUUCAUUUGAAUUUUAGUGAAAUCUAUAUGGAUUUAUAUUACAUUUGUUUGAACGACGAUAAUAAAUUGUAUUGAAUUUUAUUGAAUUUUCAAUUUUCGUCUUUAAGGACAAAUCUCGGGAGAGCUAUUUAACGAAAGCAUUACAUACACAAUUUGUCUGUACGUACCUAUAUAUUUUUUUUUAUUUUUUGUCAAAAAGCAAUUUCAACAUUUAAUAAUAAAAAGAUCCGGUUGUGCUCCUAUUUACCUUAUUCAGGAUUAUGUGCUUCAAAACACGUCUCUAAAUCGCGUAUAAUAUGUACAAUUUAUUACUGCUACGAUAUUACUGCGCAUAUUCAUUUGAUUGAAUUACAUUAAGCCGUAACCUCGUUAAAUCCAUCCAAAAUUCAAUUAAUUUGGGUAAAAAUAAAUUUAAGCAAAAUGUUUGGCCCUUCAGGUAAACUAAUAUAUUUUUGAAAAAAAAAACACGAUGUAGCAUACAAGAUGUCCUACAGUGUUAUCCUUAUACUAUUAACUCUGUUAAUAGGAAUUACCGUGCCGAUUGUGAUUCUCUAUCGCGUAACGUGUUAUUGUAUUGAAAGUUGUUCUCAUAAAAAUUUUAUAGAAAUUAAAAUGGCUAUAACUAAGAAACUAUUGAUCGGAUAUGAAAGUAUGUUACAUUCAAAUUUUCAAAAUAAUAUCUUUUAUGAAAUGGGUGUUUUGAAAAUAUUGAAAACUGAUAAAAUAAAAAGUUUUUUUUUUCUAAUAAUUAAGGGAUGAAAUAAAAAUUUAAAUUUUUUUUACAUAUGUGAUCCCCUCACACAAAACCUAAUUGAAAAAAAAAUGAACGUUGACAGAAUUAUUAGCAUUAGGCGAUGACAUUGUAGGACACUCUGUAUUGGUGCUUACUAAAACCUUUGUUUUAUAUACGUUAAGUUUGAGUACAAUCAUUUCAAUUUUGGCUUUAAUGUAAAAUUUUGGUAUUUAAGGAAAUAUUUUCCUUCUAGUUUCGAAAGGACUUUUUCUGAAUAACCUAACGUUGUCGUUUGGAUUGAAUUCAAAAACUUGUAUAUUUUAUGUUACUAUUACGGCACAUUAUUUCUGUGAAGUAGUUCCAUUUGUUUUUAAUAAAGAGCUUUAGAUAGUUGUAUUUUGUUCAAUUUUUGAGAUAGAAAACACAGAUGUUUCCCUAUAAGAAAAUAAGAAAACGUACGUUUUAUUGCGCAUGUGUGUGGCGCAAACCUCAACUACAGUUAAUGUUUUAAAAAUAUGCAGUCUCUAAAUGUGUACUUUGGAAUACUCGGUCUUCGUAAGAAAACCUAAUCUUUGAAUGCUUGUUAUUCCCAAAAUAUGGGUUUCCUUUUUUUCAUCUUAAUAAAUUCAACAAAUUUUUUUUUUACUUGAAAUAAAAAACGUUAUAAAUAUAGUUGACGGAUUUUAAUAAAUUAUUUCAAUUUUAUUAAAAUUUGCUGUUUUUGUAUAAAAAAAAAAAAACCCGUAAAAAAUUAUUUUAAAAUCGCAUUUUGAAGUCAAAUUUGUAUUAAUAUAUUCUACAUAUUUAAGUAGUUUAUAAUAUAAAUAUAUAUAUAAAUAUAUAAAUAUAAAUAUAUAUAUAUAUACAUAAUAUGAAAAAAGUUGCAUUACAUGGUUGGGAAUAUUAAUGAAUUCAAUUUAUAAUAUUCAAACAAAUAUUAUUGUAUAUUUAUUAUUGGUCGGUUAUUGAUUGUAAUAAAUUAUUUUAAUCUUGUUUAUUUACUGUUGUUUCUUUCGAAAUUUAUUUUCAUUGGUAUAAUAUAUUUAUUUAUAUAUGUUAUGUUCAAUUUUUUACUCGAAAUAUAUUUAAAAAUUAAUAUUAAUUAGGUUAAUCGUAUGUGUGUAUAUAUUAUAUUGAAAUUCUUAUUACUUAUAAUAAUACACUAUAAUAUACUUUUAAUACUGUUACUGGUUUCAUAAACAAAUGUAUAAAAAAUAAAAUUCCUGGCCAUUUAAAAUAAGUAAUAAAAGCAGUUCCGGGAAUAUAGUAAAUUCUCUUAAGAAUAAAAAGUAAUAAAAACCAUAAAUAAAAUAAGUAGUUAUGUGUACUUAAUAUUUGUCGGUAAUUAAUCUCGAAAUAUUUUCGCGUCAUUUUUUACGACUUGUACACUUAUACUAUAUAAUUGUACGAAAUUAUGACAACUGUUAAAUUGUAUAUUAUUACUUAAACUAUAUGUGUAUAUUACACACAAUAAUCCACAAAAUAAUAAAUAUUAUAAGUUGUCUUAAACGUCAAACGUCAGUAAACAAAUUUUGUGUACCUAUGAAAACAAUUUAUUUCAAUCAAUGCGAUGAUUUAAAAAAAAAAAAAAAACAAAUAUAUAUUAUGGGUUUGUCUUAAAUAUAUUGUGUAUAUUAGGAUAGACCAAAACAUUUUUUUUUAUUUUUUCGUGGACCUAUCAUAUUUUAUUUGUACGGUUGUAGCAAUACCAUCGAAUAUUACUUCACAAAAUCGUAAAAUGUUGAUAAAUCAUCAAUCUGAAACUACCCUUAACAAAACACGAAGCAUAACUUUACAAAUGUCAAGUAUAGACAAGUACAAUUAGAAUUUAUAAAAUAGAUAUUUUUUUUGCAAUAAUAGGAAUAUUUGUCGGUUAUAUUAAUAAUCGUACGGCUAUCUGUAUUUGGUUCGAUCCUCUUUGAUCACGACCAUAUUAUUAGAUUAAUCAACGUCUAUUAAUUUCUAGAUGCAGAAAGGGCACAUAGUUUAAAAUUGUUCAAAAAAAAAAAAAAUAAAAACCUAAUAUUUCUGAAAAAAAAAAAUAGAAAAACAUCUGUACGUUUCUGCAGUUAUUUUAUGAAUGAAAUAUUAUAAAACUCUUGGAAGUUUUUUAUCUUUCUUGAACAUUUUGUAAAUAAAUAUUUGCCGUUUUAUCCAUAAUUUUUUUUUCGGUUUUUCCAAUUAUUAUGCAAUCCCCUCAAAAAAUCAAAAAAAUUACCUCCAAAAUUAAUUAAUAGAUCAAAUUUCCUUUUAGAAAAGGAUUGCUAGUGUUUAACCUAACCAAAGCAAGACUUUUGGUAGGAAAGUUGCUCACAGACAUAAAAAAAUUCAAAAAAUAUAAAAACACACAUCGUAGUAAAACCAAUAGAUCCCUCACAAAUCUAAAAAAAUAAAAAUAGAAAUAUUCGAAUAUUUUGCUAAACAUAGAUGUUUCCAUUUAAGAAAAUAAAAGUUUUGUUGCGCAUACCCCAGUUACACUUAAGAUUUUGAAAAUAUAUAUGCUCAAAAUAUGUAUUUUAGAACCGAAAACUUCCAAAAAAAAAAAAAAAAACCAUUCAAUUGUAAUAUUCGCGUUGCCAUUUUACUAUUCGAAUGAAAUACGCUGUAUACUGUAAAAUAUUAUAUUUUUUUUUAAAUCAUGAUUAUUGUUGUACGGUGGAAUGUUGUGUGACGGUUGUAUAUUAUUAACUCAGCUAUAUAUGUCAUUUUAUUAAAUAUAUAUUAUAUAAUAUGUAUACGUUUUAAAAAUACGUAGAUUGAUUCCGUUGAUACCAAUUAUUUAUUAACUUCAAUCAACAGCAGCUACUCUUUGACCAUUAUGUCGCGCUUCCGGUGUGCGUAGUACACAUCGUCAUCAUCACUUCCCCUUCCCACGCCGAAAGCGGUCCGUCUAGUUUUCUAAUCUGCAUGGCACUCGACUUCCUGUGUGCGUAUGUACACUCACAAGUCAUUCAUAAAAAAGGCAACAACAACACAGGCACACACACACACACACAUAUACUCAUCUAGAUAAUAGAAUUUAUACGUAUCGCUGACUAUUAAAAUCGUACAUUUUUAAUAAAAUUCAGGGCAAAACCGUACACUUUUAGUAGGUUAUAACCACACACUUUUUAUAAUGAUUGUAUCCAAAAACCGCACAUUGAUGUAUAAUUGUAUAAUCUAUUAUUUAUUAUUUAUAUAUUAUAUAUUAAAAAAAAAAACUGUGUAGGUACAAUUUAUGUGUUAAAAAAUGUAAGGUAUGAAACCACUAAAACAUUAAAAACUACAUCAGUCGAUAACUGUACUGGAAAAAUAUUUAAUAUUGGUUUGGUACAUUAUCAUCAAUUUAUUUCAGGUUUAGAUGAAAUACUUAACUAACAAAUAAUGGUUCGAGCAUAUCAACCUACGAUAAGAUAUAACUAUAUUAGCAAAUGCUUAUAUAGUUGGUUGUAUGCUUACAAAAAUAUAUAUUUAACAGAUUAUUUUAAAAUUAUAAAUACAACGGGCGUCUCUAUACACAAGACCUAACGUGCGGUUUUUACCCACUAUAAGUGUGCGGUUAUAGGCUAUAUAAUUACCUACCUGGCAACCGAUAGUGUACGGUUUUUGUUUUUUCGACCAUUUUGGAGUUGAAAUUAUAUUUGUGCAGGUUUUGGAUGCAACUAUUCGUAUGUAUUAUUGUUGAACUCGGUAUGAAUAUAAAAUGAAUGGACUCUAACCGAGCACACUAGGUCAUUCGUCAAUGGAAACAUUAUAUUCAUUAAUUUUUUUUCAUUUUUUUUGUUGUAGUUUACAUUAUUAAAAUUUGAUUUUCAACGAGUUUAUGUAUAAUAUGUAUAAUAUCUUACGCACAUCAUGCGCAUUGUAUACGAUGAUAAUAACGUCAGCAAUAUUAAUUAUAAUGGCAUGCAAUUUUUUUUGUUCGUCACCUAAUUUCCAUAUUUACAGGGGAUUCGGAAGUAUUGUAUGGUAAAUGAUAGUAGAAUAUGUAAAGUAUAAUGCGUAAUAGUGUGAUGAAGUGUGAUGAAGUGUAUCCAAGUAUGGAUAUGUCAUUAAGACAUCCGGUCAUGGUAAAAAGAGGGCGAAAGUUUCUCUACAGCGACUAUUUCCGUUGGAACUGCAAAAAUAAUAUUCACUGAAAUCGAAUUUAAAAUUUAAUAAAAUAAUGUACCUAUGUCGUUUCAUUGUAAUUAUACGUAUAGCGAAAAUAUUUCGUAUUUUAAUACUAUACCUAACUAUAUUAUACAUUGUUCAUAUUUUAAGUUUAUUAUAAAUUAAAAUAUUAAAAUUAGGUACAUUGUCACUAAGUAUAUAAUAUUAUUUUCAAAGUUAUAAUUUAAAUACAUCUGUUUUAAUAAAUUUAAAAAAAAACCCACUAUAAAUUAAAAUACUAAAUCUCAUAUACGAGUUAUUUGUAUAUUAUGUGAGUAUUUAAAUUAAACUAAAUUUUUCGGGGUUUGUAUUACAUUUAAUUUAUAUAUUAUUAUUUAAAUCUCGAUAUAUUUUUGAGAAACAUUAAUGGGGAAUUGCCUAAUAUUACGCAAGGCUGGGCAUUAACAAGUUAAUAAGUUAAAAGUUAAUUUAAACUUUUUAACUUAACUGAACAGUUUGUUAUUUUAAUUAACUUAAUUUUAAUUUAACUUAUUUGCCUCUUUAUUAACUUAAAAUCAACUUAAAUUGUUUGUAUUUGUAUUCUUCCCAAUUAAGUUGAUUUUGAAUGUUUACUAUUAUCUAGAAAAAUAUUUGAUUUAUUAUCAUUGUCCAUUUAAAAUAUUAUUAAUUCUUAGAUGUAAGUAUGAUUAUAAUUUGGAAAAUCAUUUAAUAUUAUUUAAAAAAAUAAAUAUAAUAAUAAGAUAACUAUGAAGAUAUUUACGAAGAAUUUUAUUUUUAUUCACAGACAAAAACUAAUUAAUCAUAUUAAUAAAAUCAAAUAAAUAAUAGUUUGUGUGAACUCCCCUAUUUUGGUCCAGGCUAAGAGCCUCAGUUCGCGAAGCUUUUCGACCUUUCUGGGAGGCUCUUAUUUGUCGUUUGAGUUAAAUGUAUGGCUAUCUCAGACGGCUUUGCUUGUAAGUAUUGAACCGAAAACAUUAAUUUUUUUAAAACAUAUUUCCCUAUGAUUAUCUAUUUCAUCUCCAAUCCUUAGCUGUUAUAGUUAACCACUCUUUCCUAUUAUAUACAAAUACAGGGAAAAUCAAAAAACGUUUUUCAUAAUUACCAACUAGAAUAAAAAUGAAAAAAAGGUUUCUUAAAAUAAUUUAAAAUAAAUGAAUCCAUAACACCAUACAUUUGUUUGUUUUUCAUUUUUCGCGUCUUUCUGUUUUUCUCAAUUAUUAUUAAAACUACUUAGAAAAUUUAAAAACAACUCUUUUCGUAAACAUUUUGAUCCAAAAUUCAACAAAACAGUUCUUCUGUCGUUAAUCUAUUGAACCAAUAUCUCUAGUAGAAAACAUAGUUUGAAAUAAUUAAAAACAAUGAAAUUGAUAACGGCUUGGAAUGCCGUUUUAACUAUAAUUUUGUUUUUGAGUUUUUCCAAUUUUUUUUAAAAACCUCUUUGAAAAUUAAAAAUAACACUCUGCAAAAUUUCACCCAUCAGAUAAAAUUUUCUUUUAGAAAAGGUGCUACACUCUAUAUAACGAAGUAAGAUUUAAGUAAGAAUCUAAAAUGUGUUUAUUAUUGAGUGUUUUCUUGCCCAUGACAAGCAAAUUACCAUCCAUAUCGCCAAAGUAAUCUAUAUAUAAACUAAUAAAGUUCAAAUUUUGUUCCAUAAAUAUCAAAAACCCUGUGUCAGUUAUCCUUUAGAAAUGGAAUUUUGAAAAUUCCUCCCUUAGUGCUUACGGUAUAAACGACAUUUAUUGUAAAAAUUUUAAGUAACUUCAGUGGUUUAGGCUGUGAAUAGUUUCUCUUUCAGUCAAUCAAGACAAAGAUACUUAUUACUUAUAUAAUUAUUUUAAUAGCAAAUAAACUGUUGCACUAUUGCGAUAGUUUAGUGUGCAUUUUAAAACCAUGCGACGAUACCUAGCUAUUUUGUAGCAUUAAUAUUGUAGUUUUAGAAGAAGCGAAUGUAAUUUGAUUUUAGAAAUUUUGUCGAAGACUUUAAUAGUUGUAAAUUAUAUAAUAUUUCAUACAUAAAUUUCUAUCUACUGAUAUAGUAUUCAGAUUACAAAAUAAUAAUAUUUGUUGUGCAUAUCGUUGCAACCUAUAUAACAUCAUGACGGUGAACAAUAACAAUGGAUUAUAAUAUACAAUAACACUUAUACACGGAUAAGGCGAGUGGUCAGGGUCGAUUACACGCAGUUCUCGGCCAAUAUCCGGAAUAUGAAUUUUAUGACCCUGUCGUAAAAAAUCCUCCGGUUUCUAUACAUUAUAAACGAUAAUCUUCGGUUUUACGACAUUUAAUAGCUGCAAUCGUCUCGGUGUUUCAAGGGUCGUUUGCUGAAGUACCUACAUAUUUCUCGGGGCGUUCUUUAUCCCCCGCAACGACGACAAGUCACUGGUUAGCGAUAUAAUAUCACCGUGUAUAAUAAUAUAUUGAAAAUAAUGUGUUUGGAAAAAAAAAAGGAAUUAGUUUUCCCGCUGCGUUUGAGAAUACUUAUAACGAAUUGGUGGAGAGCUGCAAGGGACAAAAAAAAAAGACUCGUUUCCGGUUUGUUUACGUGUUGUAUUUUGACGGUGCGUCUGGAAAUCGUUUGCGUUAACCGGCAGAUGGCAGUAAACGUAUACUCGAAUAUUCUUCGUUUGCUCGUUUUAUAUAAUAUCAACCGCCCGGUAUAUAUUAAGGGAUUGCGUAUAGGCAAUUUAAACGAAAUUUUUAAUAAAAUCAAAUUAUAAGUCUCGUGUCGUUAUACAAUUAUUUAUAAUUAAUCCAUGCAAUUUCUUCCAAAUCGUAAUCACAUAAAACAGAAAAAUUAGAUAAACUAUUCAAAGUGAUAUUAGAAUUUUUACAAGUUAUCCAAAUUAAAAAUAACAACAUAAUCUUGGAUCCAACGUGUUGAUUUUUAAUUUACUGAAAUGUGACGUUUCAAAAUUAAACAGUGGUCAUUUUUAAAAAAUAAGCCGGAAUUUUCCAAAAUUAAUAUUUAUUUAAAUGGAUUAAUAUGAAGGUAGUUGGAUACGUCAUAUAGUUUUGUUUUCAUUAAUGUUCAUCUCGGGCUGCUUUACAUUAAACCAUACAUACUUGUAGAUGUUUUCAAAUCAACCGCAAUGUUUUUGUGAUCAAAAACGCUCGCACCGGCGUGACAUGCUCUCAGCCCGCACCAUGGGUAUCCUAUGGAGGGGAAAGAUCUGAAAAUUGUUCCAGUAGUAAAAUAUGUUUCGAAACACUUCCGGUUUUUUCUUUCAUUAUUUAUAACUUGCUAUUUGAAAUAGUAUUUUUUUAUAUGACGUGUUAUGUAAUUCUUGUUAAUUUAUAUUAGUUUUUAAGUUCAAAUUAUGUUCCAAUUCAUCCAAAACACGAAUAAUUGCAUUCUAUUUUUUAGUAACAAAUCAAUACGAUUUUCAAUCUAUAAAUCUAUCAAAACAUGUCUAACCGAAUUCCGCUCAGAAUCGUGUUUUUCCCGCCAACGAUUUAUCGUGGGGUACAUAUAUAAAUUAAAUUAUAUUUCCCAUGUUCCUAAUUUUCCAUUCACAACUGUGGUCCGACCGCGACAUGAAGCACGUCGACAAUUUUGGGUUUGUUUACUUGUUGGUUUUACUGAGUGGUUUAUUUAAUUUAAUUUGUUGAUCUGUAAACAGUUUUUCUGUUAGAAAUCUUACAUCAAUCAAUAACUUUACAGAAACUUUCUUGUAGUAUUUUUUAUCUAUAGUUAGUGUAUUGAGGAGGUCAUUUUUUGAUUUUCUUUGUAGUUUUCUUAAUAAAUAAAUGAGAAAAACAAGUAGUUUUUAAAAAUACUUAUAAUAUUUAAUGCUCCGCUCAGAAUCAUUUUUUGUUUGCAAUAAUUUAUUAUUGCGUCUAUAUUGUACAAAUUAAAUUAUUCACUAUAUAACCUCUCUUUCAAAUUCUCUCCUAAAUCAGUGGCAUACCCAUCAGCAGUAUUAGUUUUUAAAUCGCUUUUCCUUCUACAUUGAAAUAAUAUGCCGGUACACGUGAACCGCGCGUCGCGUAUAAACAAUUUCCCGCGCAAAACUGAUCGUCAAAUGAGCACAUGAGUAAAACGAGUGAUAAAAGCCAAAAAUAAAUUGCACCGUGUUGUGACGAGAGAAAUGUUUUUUUUUUUUUUUUAUGUUUGAAGUCCUCUGUACAGAUCCCUUACUCUAAAACGGCCAAGUCUUGAAGUCUCGGGGGCGAAUGUUCGUAAACGUCGUCAGUAUCAUUAAUAAGGACAAACGUGUGCUUUUCGGGCGUUUCGCUCCGCCAUCCCUACUGGCUUCACGAUCAAAUUUUACAAUAAACGUUUGUUUUUAUGUAUUUAUAUUGAUAUACUGUAGCAGGUAUAAUUGUAGGUAAUAUCGUUAUUAUUGGUGAAAAUUCGAUUUUAUAAUAAUAAUACAGUGACGGCGCUCUGACGUUCACGGGUGUUAAUUUCACGCCGUAACGGUGGUUAUGCGGUGAUAAAUCACUGAGAUGAAUACUGAUAACAUUGAUUCAUAACAAUAUUUUGUAAUAAAAUAUUAUAAUAUUAUUGUGAUAUUGUUAUUAUCGUAACGUCGACGCCGGGUUCCGGCCGUGACCCUAGUGUGAGACCGCCGUGGUCGCCGUCGCCGCCGCCGUCGCUUCAUUGAUUGCCUACGACCGCCGCCGCCGUUCCGUUUUCCGCGUACGAAGCGAGACCGUUGCAUCGCCGCCGCCGAAGUCGUAUAACGUGUGUAGUAGUAAAAUCGUCGUAACGUCCGGCGGCAGCGGCUCCUCGAGUACAACGACCCCGACGGCCGUGUGCGCGCGCACCGCCGUCGGUAAGUAAACGCGCGCGUACGCGUUUCCCGCCACGGCGGCCGUCGCCCUCGCGAGCACGAGGCCUCGACAAGCGGCGCGGCAACGAAAAUAAAAAUAUUUUUAUUAUUAUUACGGCCGGCGCGCCUGGAAGGGCGGCGGCCCUCCUCUCCGUUCCCGACUAGACGUUUUUUCGUCGGAGCCAACGACCCGCGGCGGCGUCGACCGAGUGCCCGGAAGGGGAGGUGGGGGGGGAGGGGGUUUGUAGUGACGACUGAAGGCGGCGCGGCGUGGAUAGAAUAUUAUUUAGAGCAAGCGGCAGCGAGUGAGGGACGCCGCCGCUCUAUUUAUUAUUAUUAUUAUUUUUUUUUUUCACCAUUUCGUUUUCGAUAUGCCGCGGUAUAAUAUUAAUGUGCCCAUAUUUUGUUCCCGACCGGUAAAUUUACAGAGCUUUCACACCCCUUAUGAUGGUUCGCGUUUAAUACAAUUUGAACAGCAUAUAUUCUCGUAUAAUAGCCGGCGAUAACAAUGUUAUUGAAUAACGUUAAUAUCCUAACGCCUACUAGGGCGUCGCUUAGUCAUAGUGGUUAAAAAUAAAAUUUCUACUUCACCCCACAGGCGUAGCUAGAGGGUUUAUAGGAGGUCUUUAGCAUCCCCCCCGAGUUCAAAAUUUGCACUCCACCCUCUAAAAAAAAAAAAAAAAACAAUAAACAAAGUAAUGAUUACAUAUUUUAUCCGUGACGUAUUUUAUAAUUAAUGAGCAGAACAAAAUACUGAUUUCCUACAGACAAUUUAUGUGUACAUGAAAAAUAAUGUUAAAAUAAUUACGAUAAAUUUCAAUACGUACAAUUUUUAAUGAAAUAUGUAGUUGUUUAUUGUAAGAAUUGUGCAAAGGAUACUGUGGAGGCACAGCUCCCAUGGGUUUUUGAUGUGUCCAUAUUUUUAGCACCCCCAAAGUUGGUAGUCUAGUUGUGCCUAUACCUAACCCCCUAAAAAGCGGUUAAUAUCAAAUAUUGAUAUGUACACAUUUUUAGUACAAUUGGACGAAGUUCUCAGGUGCCAAAAUAAACUUCAACUAUAAUUAGAUCAACUUAAAUCGGUCAUUUAAAAAAAAAAAUUAAAUUCCAAUUUGAAACCCGAUAACUUUGCCAAAGUUCACUAAAAAUUUGUUCGUAUUAAUGAUACCACUUUUAAAGGAGUAAGGCAGGAAAAAUAAAAUUCCUUCCUUUACUUCCUUUACAGUGGUGGCGUACAUCAAAAAUAUUUUAUUGGAGAACAAAGGUAAAGCAAUGUUUAACAAGUUAGGAUAGCCGACCCUGUGAAAGUUCAAAGUUUCCGGUUUCUAAACGUAUUUUAAACAAUCAACUAUAAUUCCGUAUACAAAUUCGAAACAAUUUAGGUAACCUAUAUUAAAUAGAAACAUAAAUAAAUUAUAAAUCGUAAUCUGUAAAUAUUUUUUGAAAUUCUUUAAGUACUACUUAUACUAGUACUACCUAUUUUAGAUUCUGUGCAUAGAUAUUGUUUUUACUAAGAUAUGUGUUAUUUUUAUUUUUAUUUUAUCUGACCGUGAACUAAUUUUCUACCAGAUAUCUAAAAUCAAAAACUGACAAAAUACCUGUGUGUUACAUUUUCGAAAUUUGUUUGAUUUCCCAAGUGGUUUUUAUAAUAAUAAAGGAAACCGGGAAAAACGUAUAGUCUUAGAAUUUUCAACGAGUACCUUGAUAUCUACACAGACGUGGUAAAAUGUUUAAAACAAUUUUUCAGUUAUUUUUAUGCAUUUUACGUUUUCAAAUUGUUUAAGGUAUUUUUAACUUAGAGACCUAAAAUGAGACCUAGUAACCUUUUUUUCGUUGGAUUUAAGAUAGUUUUUUUCAAGUUUUAUCUUUCCCAGUUUUGAUUUUCCACAUUUUGAUAGCCGUUCGAUUUCAAUACAAAAAUUCGACAAUAAUGUUUAUUUAUUAAAAUAAAUUUUGAUUAAUCUGCUAUUGCCAAUCGCACAUUGCACAGUUCACUGCAAGGGUAUAUAAACGAUGUCUGACUCAACUUUUACUUGCAUUGAGUUAUAUAAUGUAAAAAUGUAACAUUUAUGUUAUACAGUGGACGCCGCUUAUAAUAAGACUCACGGAUAUAAGACUCAGUCACUUAUUGAAAUAAAAAACACUUGGAACAAUCCGGACAUAUCCAAAUACAUUGUAUCCUUUCGCCACUUCACCUAUAAAGUUCAUUCGGUUAUAAGUCUCACUUUCUGAUGGUCCCAAAGUGAGUAUUAUAUUUCACUGUUUUAUUAUAAAUACAAAAUUGAAAUAUAAAUUUAAUACCCAUUAAAUUAUACGUAUUGUAUCUUUUAAUGUCUUCUUCUAAAACCUUAAAAAAAUAAGUACAUUUUCGAUUUUUCAACUACAUAAUUGUAAUUUCCAAUUGGUUGAUUAUACAAUAAUCCGAAAUCCGGGGUUCCAAAAAAAUUAACUGAAAUUAAUUCCCUAAAAAAAUAAAACUAUGGUUAAUCGUACAUACAUUAUUUACAUCAAAAACACUUUUUACACGUCAAUAAUAAAUAAAUAAAAUGAAGACAAUAAUAAUUAUGUGUGUGGUUAAAAAAAAACCCACGAUACGCGAGAAUUAAUAAAAUGUUUUUAUUUUUUUUAAAUUUUGACCGAGAAAAUGACGUACCUACCUAUGUUAUUGAUAAAGAUGUUCAUAUAUUAUGCAAACAAAUAUUACGUCAUAUGAUAUUUACCUAUGUUAUUGAUAAAGAUGUUUAUGUAUCAUGCAAACAAAUAUUACGUCAUAUGAUAUUACGGUUUAUGACGUAUUUAUUAUUCCUUAACCAAAACGUUCAAAAAAACAUACUGUGCCUGUUUUACUUUGAGAGGUGGUACUGAAGGUAUCCUUUCAAUGCAUUCUUUUAACUAAAAUAUAAUUGAAUAUAACCGUUAUUCGUUAAUUGUUAUAAAGUAUUUCCAUUUUAUAAUUCGAGUAUCUUUAGAUAUUAGUUUAUUUACUAACGAGUUGUGAUGUUUUUCUUAGAAAUUACUUUUUAAAUGAGUAAAAUGCUCCGAUUUUUUUCAAGCAUUAGGUACAUUAAAAGAUGCAGAACUUCCGAUCGGUAUUACUUUAUUUAAACAUUACUAAGACUUUAAAGAAGAAAACAUGACUAUUAUAAUACUAUAUAAUAAUAUAACUCUAUCGGUUUAUCCAGCUCUGUCCACAAUCGUUUUAAGAUAUGUUUUAUUGUUGCUUUUGAUAUUUUAUAAAUUAAAUUACCCUAUAUAAUACACAUAUAUUUCGAUUUAACGUUCCACCUACAGUAGACAAACAGUGACCUAUUCAUGUCUGGAUUAUCGUAUAAGUGAGUUGAGUACGUCCGUAAGGCUAUGCACUGGCAGGACUAUUUUUCUCCAAAUUAUACACAAUAGCAAUUCAAAAGCAUAUUCAAAUUUUGUAUUUUGUAGUAUAAUUUGAUAUUAAAAAAUUUAAACCACUUAAAUAAAAUACUUGUAUUCCUAAAUUUUCUGGUGUUGGUUAUGAUUAAUAAUAAUAAGUUCAUCCAAUUCUAAAUUUAUUACAAAUUUUAAAAUAACUUACACAUUAUUCUACCUGAAAAAAAAAUGUCUGCGAUUCGCAGUGUGAUUGAACGCCUUCUUAGGGCUAUAUACUUGGGCUUAAUCCUGCCCUGGGCUACGUAAAGUAUGAAGUUUAUUCGGAAUUUGUGUCUGUAUAAUUCAUAGGGAGGGAAAUUCCUGUAAAAUGCAUAAUAUUCGUAAUAACACCAUGAAGAAACGAAAAUAAAGUAUCGCGUACAUGAAUUUCAACGUGUUUAAUAUGUAAAUCGUCAAACAUUGACCUCUUAAAAAACGGGAACGAUACUCUGCUACGUUAUUACACAAGGAUAUAAUAACUGCAACAGUAAUAUAAUUCCAGAGUGUACCGCAGUAUAAAGGUCAAUGUGACUUGACCUAUUUCGAAGUUUACGUAUACCCUCGAGUUUUGCGAGCGUAUUUUUUUAUUUAUAUCGAUUUUUAUAUUUAAAUAAACACACAUAAUAUAUUAUAUUAUUAAACGUUAUACUAUGAUUUAUGACGUAUUCUAAGAAUAUUAUUUAUUUAUAUAACAAAUCUAUAUAUAUAUAGAUCACAUAUUCUAUAAAAAGCAAGUAAUAAAAUUGUAUUUAUACGCAAUAUUGCACAACGCUGGCCGAAAAUUUUAACAAAAUCGUAAAAAAAAUGUAGAACAUUGGUACCUACCCACCCAUAAAUAUUAUAAUAAUAUUCUAAAAAAAAAACCCGCAAUGUCAGUGUCCUGUAGUAUCUAAUACAUACGUACGUUCCAGUUCCUAGAAAAUGACGUCAAUCGUAAAUUUGACGUUAUGCAAAUCGAAUUCAAACAAUGUUUUAUUGUUAACAGUCAUGAUCCGCGCUCGCGAUAUAGGUAUACAAAGUUUAAUUACGUUUUUUUUGUUAAUUAUUCAAAAAGGAAACAAGUAAAUUUUAUAUGAUAUUAUUUUUUCGUGACAUUAACACUAAAACAGCAACACAUGAUAUUGAAUUCAAUAUUUAUAGUAUAGUUUAUUUAUUUAUUUGUUUAAUAUGAAAGGCUUUCACCCGGGUAAAAAACAAUAAUAUAAUUGAUAACCAAAAACUUAAAACUAGUUCACAAAGAAAUCGUACGAUUUAAACGAGAACAGGAUGAUUUAUUUUUUCUAUUAAAAUCGUACGAGUUUCUCACAUUUUUAAUAUAAAUUUGAUUUCCGUUUUGUUUCUUUUUUUCGAUUGUUACAAAAUCGUUUACGAUUUAUCCCAACAUUAUUUUAAAAUAUUACCCCUCGUUACUGUUUAUGCCUUAAAUGAGUAUUAACUUUAGAUUUACAAAUGAAAAGUUGGUGAGUUAAAAUGUGAUCAUUUUUUUAAUUUUCCUUAUAGUUUUCCUAAUAAUUGGGAAAAAUGGGAAAAACGUAGGAAACAUGGGGAAAUGUACAGUUUCGUAAUUUUAAACUUUCUAUUUUUGUCGUAAUUCAGUUAAAAUUAUCGUAAGGAUCUGAUAUGUUCACAAAAUACUUAUACUGUCUUUUUAUUGACGUAACGAAAUGUUCAAAACAUUUUUAGUUUUUAUUUGAUUUUAUGUGGAAAUAAUUUUUUUGCCUUUUAACCAUUCCAAGAUGUUUGAAAAUUAUACACGAAGUCCAUCAUAAGUUAUGCUUGAUGGUAAAAACAAAAAAAAGUGAGAGUUAUAUAGUUUUUUAAUAUGAUCUUUUAGGCCAUAUUUUGACGAAAAUCGUUAAAUUUAAUUUACGGUAUUCAUACGGUGUAUACAUUCAUAACAUGUUUAACCGAAUUUCGCUUAUAAUUGUACUUCAUCAGCAAUAAUUUAUCGUUGCGUACAAAUAUAAAUUAAUUAGUAACUUUAUUCUAUACUUUCUCAACAUCUCGCCUACAACAAUGACACACUCAUCAGCAUAUCAGCUCCUUUUUAACAAUAUAAAUAGAUAUUAUAAUUAAAACACUUAGAACACAAAUAAAUAUUAUUAAUUAUUUUAUCAUAGUAUGACACAUACUUAUACUUCGCUCAGAAUCGGUUUUUUGUUAAUAAUAGUUUACCGUUACUUACAGAUAUAUAUUAAAUUACUGUUUGUAUCCUACAUUUCUUACUUCCCACCUACAACAAUGGCUGCACCCACGUGCGAAUUAUGUCCGUCCUAUUUUUCUUUUGCUUCCCGUGCAAUUUAGGCGGUUUACAGCUUCUACAAGAGUCCUCCAAACUUCUCGAUCCUCUGCAUAUUUGCUCCAUUUCUUAAUCUCUUUAAGUCAGUUUGAACUCGAUCCAUCCACCGCUAUCUUGGUCUUCUCACAAGCUAUUUUUCAUUUGGCUUGUUAAUGAGUACCUGUCUAAUCAAUUUCUGUAUCCUCUAUACGCCAUACAUGACCACUCUAAGGUUUUGAUCUUAGAAAAUCUUGUAAAUUGGGUGCAUUAUAUAGUCAGUUUAGGUCUGCGUUUUUUCUGUUCUCAUAUACACCAGUAUUGGGAUUUAACAUAGGCCCACAUAUUUUCCUAUGUAUUUUUCUUUCGAAGGUCAAUAGUUUAUUCUCUUCUUGUGUCGUGGACCACGUUUCACAACCGUACAUUACAAUUAGGCGUAAGUAGGCAAUGUAUAGUUUUCUCUUUAUGUCCUCUUGAAAGGAGUUUCGAUGUGAAUAUUUUAUUCAUUGCUUAGUACCCACAGUUUGUUGCACUUAUUCUGGACUUAAUCUCAUUAUGCAUAUUAUUUGUAUGAUUUUGAUUUAUAUUAGCACUUAAAUAUUUAAGUUUUUAUGAAGCAACACAAGUUCAUUAUUAUUUAGUUUAUAAUUAAAAAUAGGUAUUUAAAUUUUUAAAACUGGUGAAUGAAAUAAUUUCGCAUUUAUUAAUGUUUAAUUGAAAACAAUUUUUCACGCUCAAAGUAUACAAUUUGUUUAAAUGAUUUAAUAUCUCAGUAUGGGAAAGUUAACAAAUUGAAUAAAAUAAUUUAGUAUAAUCUGCUAAAAUUAAUAAUUUAGCAUUAUUAUUAAUGAUAAUAACAGAGGCAAAUCAUUAAAAAAAAUUUUAAAAAAAACAAAAGCCCUAAGUGAGAACCUUAUGGAAUACCUGAUAAAAUUUGAAAUCCAUCGGAACUAUAAAUUGAAAGUUGAAUUGCUUGAGAACGGUUAUUUAAAUAAGAACUAAUUCUUAGUAAAAAUAUACCAUUAAAACCAAAAGUCUGUAAUUUAAGUAAUAAAAUACUAUGGGUAACCUUAUUAAAAGUUUUUUGGAAAUCAGUGAAAAUUAUAUCUACUUGACAAUUUUAAUCUUACGAUUGUAAUUAGACAUACUUAAUAGGUUCAUUAGAACCGAAUGUUUUAGUAAAAAAACAUGUUGGAGAGAGCUUAUGUACUUUCAUCAGUAAGGCUGUCAAUAUUUUGGAAAUAAUUUGGGAAUAUCUGAUAAUUUUGAAAUUGGGCGAUAAUUUCGUAUAUCACUUCUGUUACCAGAUUUAAAAAUUGGUGUAAUAAAUAAUUUUUUCCAAAUGGUAGGGAAAUGUCCAGUAUUAGGUGAUAUGUUAAAUAAGUAAAUAUUUAAUUAAGGUUGAUUUACAUGCUUUUCAAAACGAUGGUGGAAUAAUUCCAUCUGGUUCAGUACCAGACUGUACAAUGAAUGAAGUAAGCACAUCAGUAUUAUUGGACUUCAAAAUAGACCAAGAGCACAAGUUUAGAUCAUAAUUUUUUAAUAAAGAAACAUAAAUAAGUUGUAAUUUUCCUACUUUGUCUGAAUUACUUGUGCCACCAGAAGCAUUCACGUGUCUGGUGUCAACCUAGUCCCAGCCUUAUGCAUAACAGCAUUUUCAGAAAAAUAUCCUUUUUUUAAAUCUGUUUCAAAAAGACGGAUAGGAUAAGUUGAAACAAAAAAAUUAAUGUGUAUGGUGUACAGAAUAAGAACAUUAUAAUUUUGAAAAUAUUGCAAAUAUUCCAUAUGCAAGUACAAUGAACGAAAAAAAUCAAUUAUGCACAAAAUCUUCAAGGAUAAUCGCUUGAAAAAAAAUCACAUUACAUAGUUGUGUGGAGAGGGAAAAUAUACAAAAAUAAAAAAUAUUGUAUUAAUGACGUAGAUACGAAUUUUAAUAUUAUUCGUGCGUAAGCAAAUUUAAUGGCAUACUGAAAAUUAAUUUCAAAUGGAACGAAACUGAUUAAAUUAUGGUAUCACGAGAUUUGACAACUUUUAGUAGGUACCUAUCUAAUUAAUUCAACAAAACAUAUUACAUGCAGUGUAUUAAAAAUAACAUUAUCAUCGUGCGUAGAAAUUAUUAUGCAGAUUACAUUGGCAGAAAUGUUUUUAUUACUUAUGCAUAAACAUUAUGAACAAAAAUUUGAUACAAACAAAAUUAAUUAUGUAACGGCAAAACACGAAAUCGUUAUCGCAAUUUAUGGUGGAAUGCGAGGUAUCAUUAUAUCAACACUUUUCAAAAUUGGGCUAAUCCCAUUAAAAACUGAGGAUUUUAAUAUUUACGACAGUCGUAUUUUGGAUAUUUUACGGAAACUUGAUCGGAAUUUUUGAGACACAAAAAGCAUUUAAAAAUCACCUCUUGUUAUACAGUGAUGCGAUCGUAUUGGAAUUAGAAAAUGUCAACUAUUUCAGCUAUUUCAGUGCGCAGACAGUAUAGCGGCAGGCUUUACAGGAGUGCCCGAGUAGUGUUCCUUUAUUAUACAUCUUAAUUGUCGCUUUAAAAAAAAAAAAAAACACUUUUCUGAAUUGGUAUUUUUACAGUUGACCUUUGACUACAUAAUACGGCCAUCAAUAAUAUAGGUAGCAUGACCUACCGCAACCGGACAUAAAAUGCUGUUUGCAACAAAUAUUAAAUUUCGUCUCGAACCGAGCUGGUGGGUGUGAAAACCGUUUUUCAGAGGAUAAAUAACUUACGAGUAUUAUAGACGGCGUAACAUUAACGAACGAAACGUCGUUAAUAAAAUAAAUAUCAGCUGUACAAAUACUUCAAAUGGAGAACAUAAAAAUAUUUUAAACUUGCUUUGAAUCAAUUUAAUAAAAUUUAGUGAUUAUUUAAAAUGGGUAAUGUCAAAUGUGGUCAUUAUGAGGUAUUUGUGUGAUUCGAUUCUUAUAAAUUAAAUAUACUUUUUAUGAUUGCCGACAACCGAUUGUUUGUUCGGAACCGUUCAUAUUUGAUAAGGAUUGUUAUCAUAUAAUAAUCGCGCGUAUUAUGGCUGUUCGGGGCGCACGAUAGUAGUGUUAUUACGACGGCGCGAAACGUUCGCAGUUUGAUAACGCGCUUAUCGCGCGGCUGCCGUGACGUUGGCCGCAGGUUCGUUGGCAGCAGUCUCCUCGUGCGGUAGGCGUAGUUAGGAUCGUUGACCAUUCCUUACAAGAACGACCUUGAGGACGUCACCGCCGCGGUUGUGUCGAUUGUACGGGCAGGUAGGUAUGUACGCGACACGCACGUGUGCAGCGGUACAUUGCUGCAACAGCAGCAGCAUCAGCAGCAGGUAUAGAACGCGAAGACGUUGGAAAAAUGCGCGCAGCCUCGGGGUGCUCCCCCUCCCCACGCGCGUAAUAACAAUAUUAUCCUCUUUGGAAUUCACGCGUAAUAAUGCGCACAUAUUAUUACAGAGCGUGCGGCAAAAGCGCGGUAAAUACACUGCAACUGGCGACGGAUUUCGAAGAAAUGACCGCCGAUGUCGAUGAACUGUCGCCGCGCCGCGAGAAGAGCCGCGAAAACGCGCGUAAACACGCCGCGGCCGUUUUGCGUCGUAAUUUUUUAUUAUUAUUAUUAUUUUUUUCUUACUGUCGAGGAGGGAGAUCCACGAUGUAAUAUUAAUAAUAAUAGUAUAACUGCAGCGGUGGCGACGACCGUUGCCCCGGCACGUAUAACGGGUCGUCGUAUAAUUUGUGUUCGUGUUGACGUUUCGUGCCGUCCUUGUUGUUGUCGUCGUUUUCGUUGUUGUUGUUUUCGUCCGGAGUCCGGGCUCCGUCCGAGUGAAAAGAGUUCAAUGAGUGGAUAGAAAAUGAAUCAAUAACCGGGUGACCGGCCGACCAGUAUUAUUAUUGUUGAAUUGUUGUUGAUUCGCAGUUUGCCAUAGUAUGCAUCGGGUAUUUCCCACGGUCGUGCUGCAGCAAUAAUAUUCAUCACGUCGUCGUCUUCGCGAAUUUCUAAACAAUAUUCCAUUGUAACGGUGUUCGAGAAAUGUUAUGGUCGUCAUCGAUGUCUUCGGAAUUCUUAAAUUUUGUUUUUGUUUUUUACCGAAAGAAUGUGUUUAUUUUUGUAAUAUAUCGGCCCGGUGUCGUUUCCCCGGGGGACGGCUAAUGGGUUUCGGACCCUCUCCCUCUUUAAUCCGUAAUCGUGUUAAAAUAAAAAAAAAUAAAAACUCAAUUAUUCAGAAUUGAAAACGUAUUAGGUACUAAUAACAAAUACACAUUUGUACUACGGAGUACAAAUAAUUUUAAUACACUGAAGUUAUGCACAAUAUAUAGAUAUUUAUAGAUAAUAGAUAUAUUAACAUAAUUUUCAUUUAGUUGUUUAAAUCCCUUCGUUAAAAUAUUCUGGAUACACCACUGUAUCGACCCCUCUUUAGUAAUUUUGUUUUUUUGUUUUAGGGAUAGAAUUAUAGGAUUUGAGUGGUAGGGUGUGGCUAGCAUUACAUUUUUUUAAUUCGUCCUACUUCUCUUGUUUACCUCAUAUCCUUAAUUAUGGUAUCUUCCUUAAGGUUUUAUUUCUUAAGGGGGCAAUAAACAUGUUAUGAAAUACUGGGGUCUUCCAAGUUAGGAACAUUCAGUUUUUAUUUUUACCUGGGUAUGACGUACGUUGACUAGUUUGGUAACACAAUAAGUAUAUUUCAAAUGAAUUUGAUGAUUAUUAAUUAGUUAUUAUUAUGUUAAAAAGUAAUCAUAAUUUCAAUGGGCCUAUAAUUUAUGUAAUUUAAAAAAAAAUAUACUCCAUUCUCGUUUGAAUAAUUCAAACACUAUUGUGUCGAUAGAGUAUUAUUAUUAACACUAGUAUUAGUAUAGUUUUAAAGUGUUUAAUUGGUGUACGUGUUUGUUUAAAGUUAUCGAAUUAAUAAUAUUACACGUCGUAUGCCAUACUAAUUCACACAAUACACGUCUGACGUCAGUAAUAAUACAUAAUACAUUCCGAACUUCUAAUUUAUAUAGGUAUCGAUAUUCUCUUGGCGAUUUAUUAAAGCUACAAAUAAUAUCCUGACGGUGAAAUAUUACAAAUUGGUUGCAUAUUCUAUCAAGGCUGAUCAGCGGUUUAUAAGUGCUAUGUUAAAUGGAUAUUUGAUGCAGGAUGCCUCUCACCGGUCUCUUCGAAUCUUCUAGAAAGAAUCCCUUUUAGAAUAUUUCCUUGUCAUUUUAUUGCCAACACCUUACUUUUUCUAUCACCAUUCACAUCACUUGUUACGUAACAAACUCUUUUACUGCGUGAUCAGGACCUUUAAUCCUUAAUAUCUCUUGUUCUGCACAUAUUUUUAUUGCAUUGUAUUUUUGCUUUUCUAAUAAUGUAUUCGUUAUGACUUUUUUGUUUCAUCUCCGCCUCUAUUUACUAUAUUGUUAUUCGUUUUAUUUGUUAUUUUCUCUCGACCAUUGUUAACUACCGUCGGGCGUCUACAUUCCAAUAAAUAAAAUAAUCUUAUAUUUUUUUCUGUUUAUGCAACGAGGCUCAAAAUAUUAUAGUAAGUUAAGGUCACCAUAUUAUUAUGACGUUAAUACUUCAUUGUAGUUAAAUGCCGUUCAUAGUUCCCCGUGAAAUAUUCGGGUUAUUUACAUAUUAUACUAUUAUGGUUUUCUGACACGGCGAUAAUAAUUGAUAAAAUAAAAUAUUAAUUCACCCGUAUUUUAUGUUUUGUAUGUAUAAUAAUAAUAUCUGCAGUAUAUGUACUCGAUUAAGGAUGACAUCAAAAUGUGUCUAUCUGUAGAUAAAUCUGACUAUAUAUACGUCAUAUUAUAUAGGUAUAAAACGAAUAUUGAUAGACUUUCAAAAUCGAGAAUUUUUUUGUGUGAUACUUGCAGCGGCCGUAGGGGUCAAACUCGAAAUAACGAAAACUGAUGUUCGCGAAUAUUAUUAACCAAUAAUUGAUUAUUAUGAUACAUCACGACGAUAUUGAAUGAAUAUUACUCUAUAACUUUUUUGUUAUUUCAUUGAAUUUCCCACGGUGUAAUUUCCAAUUCAACCAUCGGUUUCUUUAUGUCGGUAUCUACAAAAGAAAUUUCACAUUUUUAUACGUACGUUUGAUGAUAAACAAAUAAAAAUUAUUCUGCCGAACAAUAUUAGAUUGGUGAAUGGCGCGUUCAAACGUCAAUGCUGACCUCAUAUAAUAAUUUUUGAUAUACGCUCGUGAACAUACAGUAUUAUUAAAAACAAUUAAUAUUCAACUCACUCAAGUUUUUGAAUAUAAAUGCCAUCUCAUACAAUUAAUUCGUUUCAAAUUGUUAUAUAAGUACUAAUUAAUUAAUUAUAUUUACUAAACGCGUUUAAAUAGACUUGAUUAAAUAUCGUAAUAUUAAAAUAAUACACAAUUACAAUAAUUGAAGUCCCGAAAAAAUCAACCAUAGUUUCCCCUUAAUUUUUUUUUAUUUAUUUAUGUAUAGACAUAAAUAGGUAAGCCAUAUAUAUAUAUAUAUAUAUAUAAAAUACAAAUUAAUAAAUGUACUCGUAUUAUGUGCACAUUACAUAAUACAUAAAAUAGGUGCAAUAAUAAUUAUUAUUGUUGCUUAUAGUUUUGCAAUAUAAUAAGUCUUCCGAAUUACUGACCACUCAAAGGAUAUUCACUAACAAAAAUAACGACACAUACGAAUCGUUUUCAAUCGUGCGGUCAUUGUACCCAUACCUUUUUCAGUCUAUUGUUUUGCAUAUUGAAAAAUGUCCUUUGUCGGCUUUAGUGAAUCCACGGUUGAAAAACGUAUUAUAACAUAAUAUAUUGCUUUUUAAAAAUCAAGCGGCUAUUAUAUUAUUUUAUUGUCACAAACGUCAUUUUUCUGCGAAUACUCGCACAGGACAAGGUGCAUCAUCAAGGACUACACUGAUAUAUUCUAUUAUUCUUAUUACCACCCCCGUCAUGUAUUGUAUUUGAUCUUCCGCCACUGUCGGCUUUGUUGAGCAUACGUAUAGGUUAGGUAUAUGAAAAUUGUUCAUAUUUUAGUUUACGAGUACACGUGUAAUAUAGAAAUAUAAAAUGUAAAAAGAUUUUGAAAAAUCCAUUUAAAAAUCUUCGAAGAUUUAAUUUUGGUAACACACAAAAUAUAUAAUAAAAAAAAGAGCUGAUACUGGUCACGGGUGCGGCCACUGUUGUGAAUAGGUAGUUGGGAAGGUAGAAUAUAUAAAGUUAUUUAAUUUAUAACUGUAAUCAACAAUAAACCAUUAAUUACAAAAUAACGAUUCGGAGUGACGUACGGUUAUAUAUGUUUUGAAUAUUACGAUAUUUACGAUUUUCAUCGAAAUUGGAUUUUAAAAAUUAUAAAAAAAAUACAACAGUACACUCAAUUAUUUUUGGCCACUAAAUAUGACUUAUGAAUCUCCUGUCAAAUUUUCAAGUAUUUCUGUUAAGUCUAACAAUUUUAUUCACAGAGCACCGAAUAAAAAUACGUACAAAACUCUCAAAAUUAAAAUGUCUAUAAAUAGCUCAAAUGUUUUGAAAAUUUAUUAUGUCUAGAAAAAGUAAAUAUAAGUUAUGUUAUAAUUUCACAUAUCAUGUAUUCGAUUUUUUAGCUUUUUGUAACUUAGUAAGUAUUUAACAUUGUCUAGUUUUUUUUUUUUAGUUUUUAUUUGGUUUUAUUCAGGUAAGAUUAUUUGACCAAACAUAGAUGCUUCAAAUUUUAUACGAAAUUCAUUAUAAAUAAAACGAUAAAUAAAUUUAACGAAGUUAUAGAUUAUGUAUCCUACCUUUCCAACUUACCGCCUACAAUAGUGAUGUGAUAAUUCACACCUAUCAGCAUUAUCAGUUCUUAAAAAGAAAAAAAUUGUUGUACAUAAUAGGUACUUAAUAUUAAUUUAUUUUUAUUGGACUUAAGUCAAAAACAAAAGAGAAAUUAUUUAAAAGUUGGCUCGUUAUUUAUUAUUAUUAUUCACUAUAAUAAUACUUGGCAAAUUUUAAUUGUCAUCAACCGUGAGACAUUGAAACCUGCUGCAGCUAAUACAAUUUCCAAAUGCAUUUCGCAUGCAGUUUGUAUACCUGUAAUAUAUUAUAUCUUUUUACUGACGUUUUCUACAGUUAACUACAGUAACAGUAUUAUAAUAUUUAUAUACAUUAGACAAAAAAGAUAUAUUUUCUGUGUAUGUUUUAUAUUAAAUUCAUUAUUUUCUAUCAACCUCCCUGCCCCACCACCAAUGAAGAAACUCCAAAGAAUCAAACAAAUUUGCAUUUUGACAUUGAUGUUGUUUGGCCUGUGCCAUUUUUUUACGAUGUUCUAAUUGUCCAUUAGCACCGUUACAGUUAUAACAUCUGAUGGUUUUCCGGUUGCAUAAAACUUAAUGAACCACAGUUAUCUAUGUGAUUCAGUCACGCACAAGGCAAGUAUCUCGCAUUGCUCGAUUCGGGAAAAUUUCAAGAUGGUUUUAGUUAAGUAAAUUAUACUAAAGCGCCACAAAGACUACUAAAUUAAUAACAACCCAUUCAGAGGACUUGGCGUUCCACAAACACACACUCAUUCCUUAACUAUUUCAGAUACAAGUUUAAACAAAAUCUAAGUUCAUUAUUUAUAAUAGUUGUUCACGUUUUAUUAAACUUGCACAAAUUUAAUGUAAUCAUUUACUUGGCUUCUUGUUAAUGUAUUAUGCGAUAAAUAUGAAAAUUAGCAUAGAGAGUUCUGUUUUCGCAUGAUGACUACAAUAUGUCUACGUUUACCCCGCGAGAAUACGGAUGUGUUCGAUUUCGAAUUUAUGUUGUUUUUUUGUUGUUGCGGUAACUGCCAAUUAGUGUUCGGUAGGUACAGUAUCAGUAGGUAGUGAUUAAACGAUUCGCGACAAUUUUGAAGUGUAUCAUCGUGACUAUAUAUAUACCUGUAUAUAAUCGUCGUUGUUGGUGAUUUCCUGAAAUCCGUGUCCAAGUCCUCCGCAAUAGGCCCGAUAUACGUAUCUGUUUACAUUGAAAAAAGUUGAUGGUAUUUAUUAUAGCUAAAGUCUGUAACACUUUUUUGAAAUCCAAAAUAUUAGAAGUACAUAAGAAUAAAGUAACUUAAAUUUGACGCUUGCCAGACUGGUAUGAAACGUUAUUUAAGCCUCUCUCUACUAUAUUUCCGCGGGCUAUGGACUUAACUAAGAAAAAUCGUUAAUAUAACUCAACGAGUAUACAUAAUUAUUAUUAAAUCUUUACCACUUCUUUAUGUUUUCGUAAAUCGCAAUAAAAAUAUUUAUAUUCAUUGGAUUCACUUGAAUAUAUUUUGAUUGACGUUUCUGCUACAAGCUCGCAGUAAAAUUUGGAAAAUCUUGUUCGAGUCAAAUCACUAUAUAUACAGGGUAAUUCAUUAAGCAUGCUCAUCCCUUUUUUUGAUUAAAUUCAUUAGUUAAACACAUCGUAAUUCUGAUUUUUUAACUUAUAAGUGUAGUUAAAGCUAACAGCUACUUAGAUUUUUCACAGCAUUUAAGGAGUUUUUCAAAUGAGAACUUAUAUUAAAAAUUAGAAGCUUAUGGUUUUCCAAAGAUGUUUAUUUUGAAAUUUAAACAUAGAUUAAUAUUUAGUAGUUUAAGGAAUUUAAAAAAAAAAUGAGCUCUUAAACAGUUUAAAAAGGGGAGGGUUUCAAAGUUUGCUUGUUUGUUACUCAUUCACUUGCACAUUAUCAAAAAUAUAAGGUAUUUCUCAUAUAAACAGAAAGAAAAGAAAAUCUAAUAUGUAAAAAACCAAGACGACGCUUGAUGCUGAAGCCAGCAAAAAGGAAUGCUAUUCCUAACAAAAACCUAAUCGUGAAAAAAUAUGAAAUGCAAUGCAAUACUCUAUUUUUGGGGAAAAUUAUACAAUAAUGAUGAAUAUUUUAAUACCUAAUCUAUUAUAAUUUUAGUUUUCAUUUACGUGCGUGCUCAAAGUAUUCACGAUGCGGUGAUGUAUACAUAACGUGUAAAUUUUGUGUAUACCUUAUUAGUUAUUAGUUUCUAAAAAUAAUGUGAAAAUUGUAUAUCUGAACAUUUUCGGUUUGGCAAUGCGUACCACGGCGACGACGGUGUUUAGCCAGAACGCUUCUGCAUAUACUUGACCUUGAAAUGUUACACACAAAUAAUUGAUCUGCAGGUCGUACAAUCCACUAGUUAAGUUGGAUAAAUUUUUUCGAUGCGAAAUUAUACAGACUUUUAUUCUGCAAUAAUAAAUUUAAAGUAUUUUUCUAAUGUGGUCGUAUAUAUAUAUAUGUUGUUAUAGACUUUUAAUAGUUAUUUUUUAAGAAUACGAUAACUAAGCAGGUUAAGCAAGUGUUUGGGGGGCUAUAUUAUAAUAUUUUAAUAGGCAGUUGGUUUCCCCUAGAAUGUGUUGAGAUUAAAAUAGUUUAAUAAUUACAAGUACAAGACAAAAUAUGUUUUAAACUCUCGACGAUAGUAAUUAAUAGCUUAGUUAAUUAAUUAAUUUUAUAUAGUCACAAACGCAACGGGAUAUUAUAAUAAAUUAUAAGCUAUUUGGGAUAAUUGUUUUAAUUGACGAACUGCAAAAUAUACACGUAUGUUGUUUAUUAAUUAUAUUUAGUUUUGUUUGAAUUAUCGAUUUCGGUAUUAUAAGAAAAUUCGGUUCUCGGCAUAGUUGUAGUAGAAUUCGUGUGACCAAUCUUUAGCGGGAAAAAAAGACAAAAAACGAUUUAAGGUGUUACGGUUUGUUUCUUUCUUCCUGUUAUAUUAAAUUCGCGGAAUUAUUUUUAGAACGGAAGAACGGUCGCAUGGAAUGUGCGGUCGUUGUAGGUAGACAGUUGUUGUGUGACCGUUAGUGUCGGUAGCACAUAGUGGGGAGGGGGAGGCAAACCCGUGACCGCAUUCGCGGUGUAUUGGAAACCGAUGGAAAUAAUAAGAAUAAUAAUAUGGUUAUACGAUCGGAGGAAAAAAAGAAAAAGUCAAGGAAAAUGCAAAAAAAAAACUAAUUCUGUUCACAAAAAAUGGUACUAUUGUUGCGUGUGUUUUACCUUCUGCGUAACGGUUAUCGUUGUUACGUAUAGUGAUACCUAUAGACGUAGUCAGAUUUGUACAGUAGGUGUUGCUGAAAUGUACCAAAAGUCGUAAAUAUAUAUAUAUAUAUAAAGAUAGUUUUAAAUUUAAUACUAGAUUUAAUACUUAGAUAAUAAAAUGUAUAAAAUAUGUGUUCAAUAAUUUUACUUCCCAUAAUAUUAUUUUAGCGAAUGAUAGAUGAUAAUGAUAAAUUAAAAAAUAGUAAGUACAGGAUAGUUACAAACGAACACCUCGACUUUGAAAAUCUGUAUUUAUUAAAAAUAAAAAUAUGAUGAAACGUAUAGACUAAUUAAUCAGUGUAAUGAGUAAAUGAGUUUUUUUUCAGUAGUUGGACAUGUUUACAAUUGUUCAAUAUGCCAACCUUCCUCCCAAUGACUCACUCGAUUGACAUUAACUGCAUUGAAAGUCGAAUACAUUCUACACUUGCUGGAGCAUCUCUGAUGUAACCGUUUGUAUCUUUAACAGGGGCGAGAUUAGAAUAUUGCGAAAUGCACGUUUAACAACCAUCGCCGAUUGAGUUCGGGUUAAUGUCGUUCCCGUGUUUCAGGGGGUAGAGAGGAAUCACAUGUGAACAUGUUCAACUAUUAGAAAAAAAAAAAAAAUGUGAAAUUUACUUUUUACAUUGAUUAAUUGGCCUACGAUCAAUCGUGUUUCCUUUUAAUAAAUACAGGAUUUCAAAAUCAUGAAAAAAUCUUUUGUAAUCCCCCUGUGUCAUAUUCAUACAUUUACUGCCUUUUCUGCCCUCCUCCCACCACGAGAUUUUCUACUGACGUAUUUAAAAUAUAUUAUUUUGAUUUUUGGGGGCCCUUUAAUAACUCUCCAAAAAACUCUCUCGAAUCGAUAUACAUAAUCAAUAUUACGGGGGCUUACGAACCUCUCUCAAAAAAAAAAAAAAAUAAUAUUUGGUCUAGUUGCGCCUAUGAUUGUUGCGUAAGGUAUGGUUAAUCCGAAGAUCGUUGGCAAUAGACCCGCCCGCGCUAAUAAUAUGGUCGUAUUGAUCGUCUCUUUCUAUUCGGCCUCAUACCCUGCGGUCUUUUUUCGCGCGUGAUUCGAUUAUUAAUAAUAUUAUAUUCGGUCGCGACCAUUUCGUCUUCAUACGUCGCGCGUCGUCGUCGUGUUUAUGUUAUUAUUAUUAUUAUUGGCGGGAAAACGACGUCCGAGAAAACCAGCGGCGGCGCGCUGCUCUCUCCGGACGAGUCUGCGGCGGCGUCGCGUCGUCGGCUCGCUCGCACACUCGUAAAUAAUAUUAUUAUUAUAACGACAGCGUCGGCGGUGUAAUACUUAUAUAAGGCGCGUACGUAAAUAAUAACAAGAAUGAGAGAGAGAGAGUGCGAGGGAGGGAGCGAGUGUGAGGGGAAAAAGUGGAACGGCCUCCGUUUACGCGGAGUGCGGCGAGGGGCGAAAGGUGGUCCGUGUGUAUACGCGGAGAAAAAUAUGCGAACGAUUCCCACGGAGCGCCGCGCCGUCGCGGCUUAUUCACCUGCGCGUGUCGCGUCCUCCCGCGUGUGAUGUGCGCUAUUGUCGUAGGAGGUUACCACCUCGUUUACAAUAAUAAUUAUACCGCCUGUAUGCCGUGGCUAUACCGGGCGCGACGGAUAAUAAAACACAAUUAUGUGUACAAUAAUAUUGUGCGGUGUGCGCCUAUAUACGGUGUAACCCCGACCGGGUUCUAGUUUUUCUUUAUCUCAUUUACGGCGGCUCUUCGAAAACGACUCGAUUAUAUUAUUAUUAUUGUACGAACCGACGACGACGCCACCGAACACAAAUCGCUCUUCCCGUUGCAGACAUCACAAUCCUCGGGAGGUUUUUUUUUUUUUUUUUUUUUUUUUAUGUUCACAAGGCGGCGUCACCGUCGCCGCCCGUUUCGUGUUUGCUUCGUGUAUUUCCAUUGUGUCCGGUUUAAAAAGAAAUAUAUACAUAUUGUACUGUAUUUACGGUCGAUACUUGGGAUGCCCGACUACGGCGGUCCGUUUUAUGUACGGUUUUUAUAAUGUGCAGAAUAUUAUAGGCGAAUCUGCAAGUGUUCAAAGCCAGUAUCCAGUGAAUGAGUAGGCCAAAGAAAAUGAUAGUACGGGGUGAUAUGAGGAUAUGUGAGGUAAAUGGAGAAAUCGUAGUAAUGUGCAUAUAGAAAGACGUGUGAUAGGGCGAGAAUUGCGCGUAUGGCAGGACACUUGACGAGAAAUACUGAAUACAACGAUUUUUACUUUUAAACACAAUAUAUGUAUAUUAUAUACAUAUCAACAUGAUAUUAGAUACUUUGUAAUCUUUAGAUACUAAAUAUUGUAUCUAUAAAAAAUUCAAAAUAUAAUAAAGAUAUCAAUAUUAUUUAUUUUUGAAAAAUAAAUAUCAAACUUAGAUUAUUAUUCUUAAGGGAGACUGGGACUGGUUGUCACAAAGCUCAGUUCACAGGCGCUGUUAUCACUUAGCGAUCGUAACGAAUACUAAUUCUUUACAUUAACUAUAAGAAUAACACUCACUCGUAUUAAUGUAAACAAUGGCUAGUAUUUGUCACGGCCGCUAUGUAAUAACAGCACCUGUGAACUGACUAACUGAGCUUUGAAACAACUAGCUCCGAUCUCUCUUCUUAUUAUUAAGAGGACGUUGUACUUGUGUCUGCUGUUAUUCCGUUUUAUAAACAUAGCGAAUUAGCGUUCAGCAGGAACAACUCUGGGCUGUUAGUAUUUUAAUUCUGCAUAAUCUAUGCAACUAUUAUGGUUUUUUUUAUAUAAAUAUUUUGAUUUUUAAGCAAGAUAAAUGCGUUUUUAAAUUGUAAUAUUUCAAAUAUUCAUAUCUUGGAUUAUGGGUACUAGCGUACUUUACAUUCCUAUGCGAACAUAAUAGCGUUUUUGAUUUGACGAUUAUUAACGUGUACACCAAUAUAUAGAACUGCACGAAUGCAACUUUCACGACACUAUAAAAGGUUUUAAUAUCGAAUAAGAACACAAUAAUAUUAUUAUCAAAUGGGGUUAACCAUCGUGGAAAAGUUAAUGUAUUAUCUAAUUAAAUUGUUUAGAUUUUGUUGGUGCAGUGAGAAAUGUAUUGGUUUUACUAUGAUUUUUUAAGUUUUUCUGCAUGUAAACGAUUUGUCUACAAUAUAAAUUAAACAACACUACCUUAUCUUAUCUUUUUAACUUUCCACCUAAAAUACUGGCACAUUCAUCAGCAGUAUUAGCUCUCUUUUAAUAUAAUAAUAGUAUUAAUGUUUGAAGUCACAGGACAGUGAAAUAUUUAAUUAUUUUUUGUUGUUGUGAAUAAUGAAUCUUAUGUUUCAUGCACAAUACAAACAGUAAUUUCAAGUAACUGGGAAUACAUUUAAAAUAUAAUAAUAUGUGAAGCUAAACAUCUUCACUAUCAAUAAUUUCAGUAUCGAGUAUUUCUUUUCUGAUAAAAAUCCUAUGUAGUUGCUCUCAGUUUUUAAAUACUUUUCGUUGUACAGGUUGUUGAACAUGUCGUUUCAACAUUAUCUUCAUGUAAUGAUUUUUAUUUGUAGGGAUGUUUUGUUGCAUUUAAAAACACUUUUCUCUCCAUUUAUCCAUUCACCAUCCGGCUGUAAAGUAAAGCUACUGUUAUUUAGUUGUCUAACGUUUUGAGUUUUUUUUUUAAAUUAGUAAAGUGAUUUUAAAAAUUGUUAAAAAUUGAUGAAAUUUUUGAUUUUAUCUAGUUUAUUUCAUCCGAUACACACAUAUAGCCGCCACGUGAGUACCCUGGUGACUUCGAGAACAUUCUCAUCAAAUUAUUAUUUAUCUCUGUCUGUAGCCACAUAAAAUUAGUCUACGGGAUUUAUGCAACUGCAGUACAUGAUAUUUAAAUGCAAAAGAGUAUAGCUAAUAAAUGUGAAUAGGAAGAAAAAUAUUUCUCUUCGAUUUCCGCACACUGAACGUCAAAUGCAGUAAAGCCUUAUUUUUUCUACUAUAUAGUGUGAUAAAAGAUAAAUAUGGUUUUUACAUUAUUUCCUUUCGGUUCGUUAUAAAUUCGAACGUUUUAAACCGAGUAAUAGAUUAAAAAAAAAAACCACCAAUAGUUUUGAUUGACGAUAAUAGGUGUGUAAUACUGUAUUAAUAUGGCGGGAGGUGGAAAUGAUUGUUUUAUUUUUUAACGUACCUGCCUACACCUAUAUAGACGCAUUUUCAAGGUCUCGUUAACUUCUGUACCUAUACGUUUCUUUGUUUCUCAAAAAUGCAGUAUUUUAUUUCAAUUAUUUCGUUAGUGUUAACCAUAGCAUAGCAUAACAUUGUUUUAAUUAAUUUUAUGCCGUUUGUUUAUCGUAAUAAUUUAUGAGCUAUGACGUCGAAAGAAAAUGGGUAUUUUUUCAGCAUGUAACUAGCGUUUAACUGCAAUAUUUAUAUAAAAAAAAAAAAAAAUUACAUAUGCAUUUAUACACCUAAGUAUAAUUAUGAUAUUACUGUAUUUUUAUUUUUUGGCGUUGAUUGCUGCGCUAUAUAAUAGUAGUGUAAAUAUUAUAAAUCUGCUGUCGGACUUAACAAUUAUUUUACUACCCAUUGCCACGCUGACCGUGAUGAUAAUAAUAAUUAAGUAAAAAUUUAUCUAGACGCCACGAAUUAUAAAAAAAAAUAAAUAAUAAAAAUAUUGGUAUAUUUACAAGAUGAAAUUUUCCAAAAACUACACGUUUUCUAAAGAAGUUGAAAAAAAAAACACUAGUUAAUAAUUAUAAUAUUAAUUUGUAGAAUUAAGUCGUGUUUCCGUUGCGUAAUAUGGUGGCUCUUUAAAACAUAACAAUAUUAUAACCUGCAAUUAAUUUUAAUAUUACUGUAUAAUAUAAUAUUAUGCGUUAGUAUUUACUUUUAUACGUGCACCCCGUGUUAUUUUUUAAUCUUAUUGUUUUUUUUUUUUUACUUCAAUACCUACUUGUAUACAGUAAUUAAAUAAUUCAAUACGUUAAAUAAUAAUAAAAAAAAAAACAAGAUACGAUUCGACCGGUAUGAUUAUAUUGCUGUAUAGUUUAUUAUUAUUACGCCUUGUUGAUUUGACUAAGUAUAUUAUAAAAAAAAGAAACGUAACACUGCAUAUUUCCUCGAGACAUUAAAUUUGGUUUUUUUUUACAGCUUGUGAUAAUUAUUAUCCAUACAUAAAUAUAUAUUAUUUACAAGUAUAGUAUUUACUAUGCUCAAAAUAUAAUGUUUCAACAUAUUGUCGGUCUCCAGGAUGAAGAGCUUAUCAUUUUUUUUUCACAAUUGUAUGCAAUUUUUCACACUUUAUUUUUUGGUCUAAAUCACGUGAUCGUAUGUAUAUUCUAUAUGUUUAAAAAUGUAUAAAAACAAAAAAAAAACAUUUUACAUAUUACAUCGUAAAAAUAGAUACGCACCUAUAUAUGCAUUUUACAAAUUAAUACGACUAACCACAAUAAUAAUUAAAUUAAAACUUUUUUUUUUAUAAUACCGUUGCAGACUCAAUUUUUACCAUUUGUAAUUUAAAAGAUUACCUUAUUAUUUCUAUAAUUAUCGAUUUUACGUAGAUAUAAUAAGAGUUGAAUUAUAUAAGUUUCAAACUCUUGAAUGAAGGUAUUUUUAAUAAUGGUGGUUGCAUAAAUAUAUAUAUAUAUUUUUUUUAUAUAAACUAAGUGUAUUUUUUUUAAUUAUUUCAUUUUUAUUAAACGCGGAUAUUUGUCGAGCAAAGGCCUCUAUUUAAAAAAUAAUAAUGAAGUAUAUAGGACCUUCGAAUAGGUAUAGAAUUUUUAUUAUUGGUGUUAUAAUUUCAAUAUACGCAUCGAUAAAAGACCUCUAAAAACGCAAAAUACGCCCUUGAAAAUUUAACGUCGUUGUCUGCACCGCCGCAACGGAUGUAACUACUUCUGUUUUGUGAAUGAUAAAAAUAUUUUAUUGAUUUAUACUAUAUUAUUAUAUUACAUUUAUACAACGAAACGGAAAUGUUUGAAUAAUAAACAAACCAAAAAAAGUGUUCGUCUUUCGUUCGACAAAAUCAUUUAAUAUUACCUAAAGUGUUUUUUUUUUCACAAUAAUCUUAUAAAGGAAUGUCCAAAGUAAACUAUGCUAUUAGAUAGCUACAACUACGUAUCAACAGAGCUGCAUUAAGCUAUACUACUACCCGUGGGCAAAAUGCAUUUUGGCUACACAUCUUUUGGUACACAAACAUUUUCCGCCCCUCCUAGUGCCAUAAAGUUUACCUUCCCCGGGCAAUUGCCCACAUUUGCCACCCGUUAAACGCGACUAUGUCUAUCAAUAAUAUUAUUGCGAUUAUAGAUUCUAUUUAUAUCUCCUACAUACCUACCUACUUUCCUAUCUACCUACAUAUUUGAAAUAGAUAAUAUUCUUUCUUUUUUUUUUUCAACGAUUGUACUGUUGUAUUAAUAUACGAUUAUUCUAUUUUUAGGUGUCGUUACUAUGUUGGAUUGUCGACUCGCCGCAGCUGACCGAUAGAAAACAACACGAGUUCGGUAAGUCAACUAUGUAGAUAAUAGUUAAAUGU